rnacentral:rRNA from 1 species
UUGAACGCUGGCGGCAGGCCUAACACAUGCAAGUCGAACGGUAACAGGAAGAAGCUUGCUUCUUUGCUGACGAGUGGCGGACGGGUGAGUAAUGUCUGGGAAACUGCCUGAUGGAGGGGGAUAACUACUGGAAACGGUAGCUAAUACCGCAUAAUGUCGCAAGACCAAAGAGGGGGACCUUCGGGCCUCUUGCCAUCGGAUGUGCCCAGAUGGGAUUAGCUAGUAGGUGGGGUAACGGCUCACCUAGGCGACGAUCCCUAGCUGGUCUGAGAGGAUGACCAGCCACACUGGAACUGAGACUCGGUCCAGACUCCUACGGGAGGCAGCAGUGGGGAAUAUUGCACAAAGGGCGCAAGCCUGAUGCAGCUAUGCCGCGUGUAUGAAGAAGGCCUUCGGGUUGUAAAGUACUUUCAGCGGGGAGGAAGGGAGUAAAGUUAAUACCUUUGCUCAUUGACGUUACCCGCAGAAGAAGCACCGGCUAACUCCGUG